CAAGAAUUACUAUAUAAGCGAAAAAAAUAGAAUUCAACAAUGAGAAAUAAAGUAAAGGAAAUAAAAAAAAACAUAUCAUAAAUAUUAGUUUUACAUAGUCAUACAUGGAGAUCACAAAUAGUAGUUGAUGUCCAUUACAAAUUUAUUUGGAACGGUAGAUAGUCACUUCUUUUUUACAACGUACACUGUUACGAAUAACACAAGCUCAAAAGGAGCAGAUAAAAAUAAAAAGACCAUAGAGAAUACGUUAAUAAUAUGAGAUUCAAGCUAUUUCUAAAGGUAAGUUUCGCAAAGCCAUCACUUGAGUGUUUGAGGACCAAAAUGAAUCAACUGCAUUAACAGGAUAAAUCAAACUAAUUAAUAUAAGUAGAGAAAUGUAAUUAUAAUUUACAAAGAGAUUAAAGGAUAUUGAAGUUACAUACCAGUCAGUGUCACAAGGAGAACAACAAAAAAGAAAGAGAGUUUGUGAGAUAGACAUUUUUUAGCCAUGCUAAUAGAGUUUUGAGUAGCUGAUUUUUGUGAGAAGAAGAGCUAAUUAAUUGUGUGAGUGGAUUUUCUUGAUUGAUGAAAGGCUACAUAUAUAUAGGCUUUUA
rnacentral:lncRNA from 1 species